UUUCCGUAGGUGAACCUUCGGAAGGAUCAUUAUCCAUCUCAAACCAGGUGCGGUCGCGGCCCCCGGGGGCUUGCUCCCGGGUGGUAGGGGUAACACCCUCACGCGCCGCCUGCCUGUACCCUCUUUUUACGAGCACCUUUCGUUCUCCUUCGGCGGGGCAACCUGCCGCUGGAACCAAAACAAACCUUUUUUGCAUCUAGCAUUACCUGUUCUGAUACAAACAAUCGUUACAACUUUCAACAAUGGAUCUCUUGGCUCUGGCAUCGAUGAAGAACGCAGC
rnacentral:misc_RNA from 1 species